rnacentral:misc_RNA from 1 species
GAUGAAGAACGCAGCGAAAUGCGAUACGUAAUGUGAAUUGCAGAAUUCAGUGAAUCAUCGAAUCUUUGAACGCACAUUGCGCCUGCCAGCACUCUGGCAGGCAUGCCUGUUCGAGCGUCAUUUCAACCAUCAAGCCCUAGGCUUGCGUUGGAGCCCUGCGGCUGCCGCAGGCCCCUAAAAGCAGUGGCGGGCUCGCUAUCACACCGAGUGCAGUAGAUUACUCUUCGCUCAGGGCGUGUGGCGGGUUCCAGCCGUGAAACCCCAUACUUCUCAAGGUUGACCUCGGAUCAGGUAGGAAUACCCGCUGAACUUAAGCAUAUCAAUAAGCGGAGGA